GCCUUCAUGGUAUAAUGGCUAGCACACUCGGCGUAUAUUCGAGAGAUCCAGGUUCAAGUCCCGGUGAGGGUA
rnacentral:tRNA from 1 species